UUUGGCACCUCGAUGUCGGCUCAUCACAUCCUGGGGCUGGAGCAGGUCCCAAGGGUAUGGCUGUUCGCCAUUUAAAGUCGUACGUGAGCUGGGUUCAGAACGUCGUGAGACAGUUUGGUCCCUAUCUGCCGUGGGUGGACGAAGCUUGAGAGGAUCUGUCCCUAGUACGAGAGGACCGGGAUGGACACACCUCUGGUGGACCUGUCGUGGCGCCAGCCGCGCAGCAGGGUAGCUAAGUGUGGAAUAGAUAACCGCUGAAAGCAUCUAAGCGGGAAACUAACCUCAAAACAAGGCUUCGCCGAGAGCCGUGGUAGACCACCACGUUGAUAGGCCAGGUGUGGAAGUGCCGCGAGGCAUGGAGCUUACUGGUACUAAUCGCUCGAUCGGCUUGAUCGU
rnacentral:rRNA from 1 species